rnacentral:rRNA from 1 species
UACGAAGGGGGCUAGCGUUGCUCGGAUUUACUGGGCGUAAAGGGCGCGUAGGCGGACAGUUAAGUUGGGGGUGAAAGCCCGGGGCUCAACCUCGGAAUUGCCUUCAAUACUGGCUGUCUUGAGUGUGAGAGAGGUGUGUGGAACUCCGAGUGUAGAGGUGAAAUUCGUAGAUAUUCGGAAGAACACCAGUGGCGAAGGCGACACACUGGCUCACUACUGACGCUGAGGCGCGAAAGCCAGGGGAGCGAACGGG